CAUUUAGAUCCCCUUCCACACUGUGGAAGCUUUGUUCUUUUGCUCUUUGCAAUAAAUUUUGCUGCUGCUCACUGUUUGGGUCUGCCCCGCCUUUAUGAGCUGUAACACUCACCACGAAGGUCUGCAGCUUCACUCCUGAAGCCGGAGACCACGAACCCACCGGGAAGAACAAACAACUCCAGACUUGCCGCCUUUAAGAGCUGUAACACUCACCGUGAAGGUCUGCGGCUUCACUCCUGAAGCCAGAGAGACCACGAACCCACAAGAAGGAAGAAACUCUGGACACAUCUAAAACAUCUGAAGGAACAAACUCCAGACACACCAUCUUUAAGAAUUGUGACACUCACCACAAGGGUCCGCGGCUUUAUUCUUGAAGUCAGGGAGACCAAGGACCCACCAAUUCUGGACACACUACUAAGUAACCUUAAGUGAAACACCAUGACUAAAGUCUCCUAAGAAUGACCUUCAUAAAUUAAGAUAUUUUGUCUUUCACAGUAAACAUGCUUCCGUAGUCAGAAGUGACACACGGCCAACUCAAAAUAGUUUGGGGAAAAAAGGAACUGCAUUGGCUGAAAGAAUCGAAAGAGUGAUUGAAAACCAACGGUAGGAAGUAUGGUUAUUCAACACAACUUCAGGAAUAAUUGAAAGCAGGGAAGAUCUGAAGAUA
rnacentral:lncRNA from 1 species